CCUACGGGUGGCAGCAGUGAGGAAUAUUGGGCAAUGCUCGUAAGCCUGAACCAGCCAAGUCGCGUGAGGGACGACGGCCCUACGGGUUGUAAACCUCUUUUGCCGGGGAGCAAACGGCGGCACGCGUCCCGUCCUGAGUGUACCCGGAGAAAAAGCAUCGGCUAACUCCGUGCCAGCAGCCGCGGUAAUACGGAGGGUGCGAGCGUUAUCCGGAUUUAUUGGGUUUAAAGGGUGCGUAGGCGGGAUGUCAAGUCAGCGGUCAAAUACAGGGGCUAAACCUGUGUCCGCCGUUGAAACUGGCGUUCUUGAGUGGGCGAGAAGUACGCGGAAUGCGUGGUGUAGCGGUGAAAUGCAUAGAUAUCACGCAGAACCCCGUUGGCGAAGGCAGCGUACCGGCGCCCGACUGACGCUGAAGUACGAAAGCGUGGGUAUCGAACAGGAUUAGAUACCCGGGUAGUC
rnacentral:rRNA from 1 species